rnacentral:rRNA from 2 species
AUGAACGCUGGCGGCGUGCCUAAUACAUGCAAGUCGAGCGAACAGACGAGGAGCUUGCUCCUCUGACGUUAGCGGCGGACGGGUGAGUAACACGUGGAUAACCUACCUAUAAGACUGGGAUAACUUCGGGAAACCGGAGCUAAUACCGGAUAACAUGUUGAACCGCAUGGUUCAACAGUGAAAGACGGUCUUGCUGUCACUUAUAGAUGGAUCCGCGCCGCAUUAGCUAGUUGGUAAGGUAACGGCUUACCAAGGCAACGAUGCGUAGCCGACCUGAGAGGGUGAUCGGCCACACUGGAACUGAGACACGGUCCAGACUCCUACGGGAGGCAGCAGUAGGGAAUCUUCCGCAAUGGGCGAAAGCCUGACGGAGCAACGCCGCGUGAGUGAAGAAGGUCUUCGGAUCGUAAAACUCUGUUAUUAGGGAAGAACAAAUGUGUAAGUAACUAUGCACGUCUUGACGGUACCUAAUCAGAAAGCCACGGCUAACUACGUGCCAGCAGCCGCGGUAAUACGUAGGUGGCAAGCGUUAUCCGGAAUUAUUGGGCGUAAAGCGCGCGUAGGCGGUUUUUUAAGUCUGAUGUGAAAGCCCACGGCUCAACCGUGGAGGGUCAUUGGAAACUGGAAAACUUGAGUGCAGAAGAGGAAAGUGGAAUUCCAUGUGUAGCGGUGAAAUGCGCAGAGAUAUGGAGGAACACCAGUGGCGAAGGCGACUUUCUGGUCUGUAACUGACGCUGAUGUGCGAAAGCGUGGGGAUCAAACAGGAUUAGAUACCCUGGUAGUCCACGCCGUAAACGAUGAGUGCUAAGUGUUAGGGGGUUUCCGCCCCUUAGUGCUGCAGCUAACGC